ACCGAGCUUGAUGUACUGUAAUAGUGAAUAACGAUACAAAGUUUGACUCGUAUAGGGAGGAGCUUAACUUUUACAAGGAGGAGCUCUGAAGUGUCUUAUCGAGAAAAGUAGGCAAUAUGUGAAGUUAUAUUAUUAUGGUCAAAGAUUGGCUUUCCAUAAAGAAAAGUAAUCUUUACUAUAAAUAUCAUUUUUUAUCAUUAGUAAGUUCAGGCAACCGAAAAUUUCCAGGGUAAAAUAAAUGUUGAAAGACCCAAAAAAUAGGCGACAACAGCCGUUGAUACCAAGUUGGACUAGGUUUGUCGGUAGUGUAUUUAUCAGCAACCUUGGCCAUAACAGCUAUACUAUUCACUGGAUACCCAAAAUUUUGGUUAUUUUUUUGAAUAAGCAUUAAGCAGCGACCUAGCAUUAACAGCUCUUUCGGUAAACGAGUGCAGUCCUGUAAGAAGCCAAUGAACUUUUUGCGUUCAGCAAGCUGCUGUUGGAAGGCCUCUUUCUUUGAAAUAAUUUUUUCACCAGUGUGAGGUUGCUCUUCAUCCAUUGGAAUAUUUAACAUGCGGUUAGCAAAAAGCUCAGGUUGUCCAAUCCCCCAAGCAUCCAUUACCUGAAGAAUAGAUUUUUUGUCUAAUGAAUAGGCUGCAGUGAAAAGCAAGGCAAAUUCUUUUCUAAACUUUUCUGAUUCAAAUACAUAUAACCCAUGAUCCAAAAUUACCGUUUGACACAAGCCUGCUUGAUUUUUUCGAACAAGGAUAUUUCCAGGAUGUGGAUCACAAUGAACUUGUUUCGAAUGAAACAUUUGGAAGGCAAGGAAUCUGAAAAGGUUCGUUAAAAUUUCCUUUUUGCUCAUCCCAGCUUCAGAAAGAGCAGUUUGAUCAUAGAGGGGAAUGCCAUCAGCCCAUUCAGUAACCAUUACUCGCUUUCCAGAAAUCUCUUUAUAAACCUUUGGUAUAUAUAUCUUAUCUCUUAAAUAAUCAGUUUCUUCUACCC